AGCAGAGUGACGCAGUGGAAGCGUGCUGGGCCCAUAACCCAGAGGUCCGUAGAUCGAAUCUACGCUCUGCUA
rnacentral:tRNA from 1 species